UACGAGGGGGGCAAGCGUUGUUCGGAAUUAUUGGGCGUAAAGGGCGCGUAGGCGGUGCGGUAAGUCACCUGUGAAAACUCUGGGCUCAACUCAGAGCCUGCAGGCGAAACUGCCGUGCUUGAGUGUGGGAGAGGUGCGUGGAAUUCCCGGUGUAGCGGUGAAAUGCGUAGAGAUCGGGAAGAACAUCAGUGGCGAAGGCGGUCUGCUGGGCCGUUGCUGACGCUGAGGCGCGACAGCGUGGGGAGCAAACAGG
rnacentral:rRNA from 1 species